UGAAAGGAGUAAUCCGUCUAAAGAUGAGCCCGCGUCCGAUUAGCUAGUUGGUGGGGUAAAGGCCUACCAAGGCGACGAUCGGUAGCUGGUCUGAGAGGAUGAUCAGCCACAAUGGGACUGAGACACGGCCCAUACUCCUACGGGAGGCAGCAGUGGGGAAUUUUACGCAAUGGGGGAAACCCUGACGUAGCGACACCGCGUGAGCGAAGAAGCCCCUUGGGGUGUAAAGCUCUGUCAGCUGGAACGAAGCAAAUGACGGUACCAGCAGAGGAAGCAUCGGCUAACUACGUGCCAGCAGCCGCGGUAAGACGUAGGAUGCGAGCGUUGUC
rnacentral:rRNA from 1 species